rnacentral:rRNA from 1 species
UACAGAGGGUGCGAGCGUUAAUCGGAAUUACUGGGCGUAAAGCGAGUGUAGGUGGCUCAUUAAGUCACAUGUGAAAUCCCCGGGCUUAACCUGGGAACUGCAUGUGAUACUGGUGGUGCUAGAAUAUGUGAGAGGGAAAUAGAAUUCCAGGUGUAGCGGUGAAAUGCGUAGAGAUCUGGAGGAAUACCGAUGGCGAAGGCAGCUUCCUGGCAUAAUAUUGACACUGAGAUUCGAAAGCGUGGGUAGCAAACAGGAUUAGAUACCCUGGUAGUCCACGCCGUAAACGAUGUCUACUAGCCGUUGGGGUCCUUGAGACUUUAGUGGCGCAGUUAACGCGAUAAGUAGACCGCCUGGGGAGUACGGCCGCAAGGUUAAA